AAAUUAAUUCUCCAAACUAAAAUCUGCAUAAAUUACUUUUCCUAAAUUUAUGGUCAAACACGCCCAUUGUCUAGAUUAUUGAAAUUUAACUAUUAAAUUAAAUACAAUAAGUUUAUAAUUUUAGUAAUCUUCAACAAGAUAAUUGUAUGAAUCAAAUGCAAGAAUAAUAUUACGUGCAAAAAUAAACAUAAUAUAUUUUCGUCAUACAUUCUCAACGCACUUAUACAACCUUCCCACAAUAUUAAACAGAGCAUUAAUUAUGUUCUUUUUUUUCUGUAUUAAUUAUUUGGUAAAAAUAUAUAAACUUUAUGUGAACUACAAAUUAUUUUGAUUUAAUUAUUUAUUUAAUUGUUCAAAAUAUUGAUUUU
rnacentral:lncRNA from 1 species